CGCACGGGUGAGUAACACGUAUCCAACCUGCCGUCUACUCUUGGACAGCCUUCUGAAAGGAAGAUUAAUACAAGAUGGCAUCAUGAGUCCGCAUGUUCACAUGAUUAAAGGUAUUCCGGUAGACGAUGGGGAUGCGUUCCAUUAGAUAGUAGGCGGGGUAACGGCCCGCCUAGUCUUCGAUGGAUAGGGGUUCUGAGAGGAAGGUCCCCCACAUUGGAACUGAGACACGGUCCAAACUCCUACGGGAGGCAGCAUG
rnacentral:rRNA from 1 species